rnacentral:rRNA from 1 species
GAUGAACGCUAGCGAUAGGCUUAACACAUGCAAGUCGAGGGGCAGCGAGGGUAGCAAUACCUGUCGGCGACCGGCGCACGGGUGAGUAACGCGUAUGUAACCUGCCCGCAACAGGGGGAUAACCCGGCGAAAGUCGGACUAAUACCGCAUAAAACAGGGGUCCCGCAUGGGAAUAUUUGUUAAAGAUUUAUCGGUUGCGGAUGGGCAUGCGUACCAUUAGGUAGUUGGUGAGGUAACGGCUCACCAAGCCUGCGAUGGUUAGGGGUUCUGAGAGGAAGGUCCCUCACACUGGUACUGGGACACGGACCAGACUGCUACGGGAGGCAGCAGUGAGGAAUAUUGGUCAAUGGGAGAGAGCCUGAACCAGCGAAGUCGCGUGAAGGAUGACUGCCCUAUGGGUUGUAAACUUCUUUUACAAGGGAAUAAAAUGAGAUACGUGUAUUUUAGUGAAUGUACCUUGGGAAUAAGCACCGGCUAACUCCGUG